ACGUAGGUGGCAAGCGUUGUCCGGAUUUAUUGGGCGUAAAGCGAGCGCAGGCGGUUUUUUAAGUCUGAUGUGAAAGCCUUCGGCUCAACCGAAGAAGUGCAUCGGAAACUGGGAAACUUGAGUGCAGAAGAGGACAGUGGAACUCCAUGUGUAGCGGUGAAAUGCGUAGAUAUAUGGAAGAACACCAGUGGCGAAGGCGGCUGUCUGGUCUGUAACUGACGCUGAGGCUCGAAAGUAUGGGUAGCAAACAGG
rnacentral:rRNA from 1 species